UAAACUUAAUCCAGAGACUCUCAGGUUUUUCUGCAGUUUCAUACCGGAGCUCUGAGCAGUCAUACUAUUAGACUAGAUUAGAGAGUAACAGAGAGAGAGAAAGUCUCUAAGAGUGAGAGACACAGCGAGGCUACUCUCUUAGCAGAGCAAGCGGGAAAGAGACACACCAAGUCUAGUCUCUCAGAGGGCCCCAGCCAGGAGGGGAGAAAGGCGAAGCCAUUGGAGGCAGGCUUGGGACUCCGCAGCGGCGGCUCCGGUGCGCUCAGACCCACCCGCUGCUCCAGCUCACUCACCUCUUUGCUCCGGAUGCUGCGCAGCCACCUCUCACUCACACGGAGGCUACUUCCAGGACUAUGAAAGGUUUAAGGAAACACUGAAGGAAAUACAACCAGGAUUAAACAAUGUCGUGACCAUUCAGCAAAGCAACCCAAUCCCUGAGUAGUUCAAAAAGAACCCUGGAUAUACAGUGGCACAAGACGAUCCAGAUAGAGCCCUGUGAAACCAGAUUUACGCCAAUGGAUCGAUACAGGUGAUAAUUGAGAUCCGAAUCUGGCCCAAGCUGGACUAAUUUCUGUUAAACAGCA